UUUUGUCAGCUGCUUCCCAUUUGUGGCCAGUGAGAGGUGGGCACCUCCUUGUCUCUUGCCUCGGCCUCUCUCCCUUGUCCAUUCGCACAGCUCGCCGUCACCACCGAGCACUUCCGUAUCGUCCUUCUUGCCUGCGGUGGCUCUCUUGCUCAGUCUUGCGUAUUGUUUUUCAAAGCGGAACUGUUUCUGUAGGGAAGGAAAGCGAGAGUGAGCCGUGCGGUCUGUCAAGUGCGGCCGCCAGCAGCACCAUCCGUAGCGCGCUCGUGUGGGUGGGUGGGCGUGGUGGGAAUCUAUUGCGUGUUUCCGCUUCUUCUGUCGCCCACCCAUCUUCGCAUGCGCUUCUUUCCUGUGCUUUUGUCUCUCUCGCCUUUGCUUGUAUUCCCCCCUUGAUGGUGGCCACCACGGAAUCGGGAUGCACACGAGCACGUCGUCCUUGACCGGCGCCACUACCUCCUCCCGCGUCCCUGUCUCUCACUACAACCCGUGCUUGCCACCAGUGGACGUUGUCGCGCACUACACCGAUCUGCUGAAGCGAGGGGCCGAGACGCGCCUCACUCGACUACUUCGAGCCAAGGCGUAUGUGCAGUUACAUGACUACGCGUCGGCUUGCGCGGACUUGGAUGACUGGAUCCAGGAAAUUGAUCGUACUGCACACGGCAUCAGCGCAGGUGCGGCAGCUGACAGCCUCACAGAGGCUCUCUUCUACCGAGGUGUCUGCCGCGCUCGCCUGUCACAAGUAAAGGAUGCCGUAGCCGAUUUCACGGAGGUGCUGCAGCGUAAGCCAGGUCAUCGGCGGGCCCACUACGAGCGGGCCGCGUGUCACGCGCAACUCGAUGAUUUCUUCAACGCCAUCGCUGACUACGAAGCGGCGCUGCAGCUGGACGAGGUGGGAAGAGAGAAGGAGAACCUUCGCCGGUACCGAGAGCGUCGCUGCUGUUCGGCGCAGCAACAACCACGACGUAUGCGAUUCGCGUCGUCGCGGCCAAGGCUGAGCCCUCUCCCGCUUUGCAGCAUUGCCGUCCGACCGCCCUCCAACGCAGUCUCGCCGCUGCGGCAGCACGUGCCAACACCUGCAUCAGAAAAGGCGCAGCUCACUGACGGGCCUCUCGCGCCAGAGCAGUCAGCCCCAUGCUCACCGGUCUCCACACGCGGCGCCAUGGCGAGCAGUAGUCGGUGUAUGCCCAUGAAUGAGGCCUCGGACAGCGCUGUGGCGACGGUGUCCUUGUCAGAGUACACGAUGCCUGCCGCGGGCGCCGGCGCUACGACCCUCCCAGCGAUUCUCGGCCGCCGAAUCUCGCAGGGCUUCUCAGACCACAGCCAAGAUAACUUGACCAGCGUCUCUUCCAGCACCGAAUCGUUGCUGGACGGCAGCGUUAUGGAAGUAGACGAGACGGUCAAGGACGUGAGCGCGGCUCGAACGCACGAGAUCGCCGCCUCCUACAGUACCCGCCACGAGAACCCCGAGAAUGGGCACGGCAUGCUCGCCGCGAUGGACCCGACGUGUAUACUGAGUUCCAGCAACAGCGAGGGCGAGGAGUGGCUGCCGGACGACGUGCUGGAGGCAGAGACUUGGCAGCAGAGUAAGGGCAGCUGCGCCGCCGCCCGCUUGGCAACGGCUGGGCAGCUUCUCCUCAAUGCGCAUUACUUUUACCAGCGUGGGCUAGAGCAUCGCCGGCGCGGCGAGCUCGAGGCAGCCAUCCACAUGUACACACGGGCGCUGGAGCUUUCGCCGACGCACUUCAAGGCACUAUUCAACCGGGCCUUCUGCGAGGACAAGCUGAAGAACUACACGCGCGCCAUCGAAGACUAUACUGCCGCCUUGGAUCUUGACCCACGCAACCCGUUUACGCACUACAACCUAGGCAUCAGCUACGAUCACAAGGGUCGCCACGCGCGCGCGAUGCAGGCCUUCACCCGCGCCAUCGAGCUUGACGACCGCCACCCCGACUUCUUCCACAACCGCGGAUUUACACAGCGGAAGCAGGGUGCCUACGCGGCCGCCAUCGCCGACUACACCACCGCCAUCUCGUUGGACCCGAAGCACUUCAAGUCGCACUACAACAGGGCCUACUGCUUCAGUAAGCUUGGCCGCUACGAGGAGGCGGUGGCAGACUACGCAGCUGCGCUGCAGAUCGACAGCGGCAACGCAAACGCAUACCACAAUCGCGGUGCAGCGCUGGCGAAGCUGGGGAGGCUGGAGGCGGCUGUCGAAAACUUCAAUUGUGCUCUGCGGCUCAGCCCAAAGCUGACCUUCGCGCUCAACGCCCGUGGCCUCGUGUACGAUCAGCUGCAGCAGUACGACAAAGCCUUGGCGGAUUUCACCGAGGCGAUCCGCCUCGACCAGCGUAAUCCCGUCUGGCUGCACAAUCGCGGCUACACUUAUCGCAACAUGGGCGAGCUGGAGCUGGCGAUUGCCGACUACAGCGCCUCCAUCAAGCUUGCUCCGCACAGUCACACGGCAUAUACCAACCGCGCCUUUGCCUUUCGAAAGCUGGGCCGGUAUGAGGCGGCUAUCGAGGACUACACAAGGGCGUUGCGCGAACAUCCAGGCGUGGCGACGAAGGUGCUCAACAACCGCGCCUACUGCUUUGCACGCUUGAACCUCUUUGAGGAUGCGGUCCGAGACUACACCGAGGUCCUUGCCACCGACCCCGUCAACGCCCAUGCGCUGUACAACCGCGGAAUCAGCUUUGAAAAGUGCGGCAAGUACAACGCCGCUGUCGACGACUUCACGCGGGCCAUCCGGCUAGCACCAGAGGUGCCAUCCACAGCGAGCAGCUACUACAGCCGCGGCACGUCACGGCUGCAGCUGCAUCAGGUGCCGCAGGCCGCCGAGGACCUCAAGCAGGCUCUCAAAUUGGAUCUGAUAGCGUGCGGGUUGCGCGGUGAAGCGCUCUACGCGUUUCGGGCUGAGCAUCCGGCUUGGCGCCUCCUGCAAGACCUCGGCGCAGACUAGAGUGCACCUGAAAGAGAAGAUAGAGGCAGAGGAGUCGAAGGACACUCGAGUAGAUAUCACACACACACACACAC
rnacentral:misc_RNA from 1 species